UCAUCUCCUUCCUCUGCAAUCUUCAUUCUUGAAGAAACCUAAUCUACAUCACCUCCGCCUCUCACCGCCGUCAACCGUCUCCACCCUUCAUCCUCUUACCUUUCUCCUCCACCACCACAAAUCUUCAUCCUCUUACCUUUCUCCUCCACCUUCAGCCACCGCACAUGCCGCCGUUACAUCUCCUACGCCAUCACCGUCCUCCUCCUCACCGCCGCCAUCUACUUCCUCUGUUUAGAGGUAUCUUCAACAUUGAUGAUAGUGAUGGCGGAGCUGGAGGCAGCAAUUCAGCCGCAACGCCGCACCGAUGGCCGACAAGCUUUUCCGACGAACAAGAUGGUUGCAGGUUUAACGGAGGUGAUGAUCUACAGAUAGAGAGAGAGAAGAGAGAGAGAGACAAGGUUUUUUUUAAAAGACCAUUUUGCCCCUGAGCAAAAUGACAAAAUAGCAGGGGUUUUUUUUGAGAAAUUUGACCUGGUUUGAUUUUUGGGCCAAAAUGGCAACAAAAAUGAAACCACAGGGACCCAGAUGUAAAAAGUUUCAAAUUUGGACUAAAGUGGCAAAAGUGACCAAACCUCAGGGACCAAAAUGACAGUUUACUCUAUUUUUAAAUAUAGUUUUCAUAUACA